rnacentral:rRNA from 1 species
AGAUUGAACGCUGGCGGCAUGCCUUACACAUGCAAGUCGAACGGCAGCACGGGAGCAAUCCUGGUGGCGAGUGGCGAACGGGUGAGUAAUAUAUCGGAACGUGCCCAGUCGUGGGGGAUAACGCAGUGAAAGCUGUGCUAAUACCGCAUACGAUCUAUGGAUGGAAAGCGGGGGACCUAAGGCCUCGCGCGAUUGGAGCGGCUGAUAUCAGUAGUUAGGUUGUUGGUGAGGUAAAAGCUCACCAAGCCGACGAUCUGGUAGCGUGGUUUGAGGAGAACGACCGAGCCACUACGUGGGACUGGAGACGACCGGCC